GACGAACGCUGGCGGCGUGCUUAACACAUGCAAGUCGAACGGUGAAGGGACCGGUUUUUGCUGGUUCUGGAUGAGUGGCGAACGGGUGAGUAACACGUGAGUAACCUGCCCCCUUCUUCUGGAUAACCGCAUGAAAGUGUGGCUAAUACGGGAUAUUCUGCGCCUGCUGCAUGGUGGGUGUGGGAAAGAUAUUGUUUCGGUGGGGGAUGGGCUCGCGGCCUAUCAGCUUGUUGGUGGGGUGAUGGCCUACCAAGGCGGUGACGGGUAGCCGGCCUGAGAGGGCGGACGGUCACACUGGGACUGAGACACGGCCCAGACUCCUACGGGAGGCAGCAGUGGGGAAUAUUGCACAAUGGGCGCAAGCCUGAUGCAGCGACGCCGCGUGAGGGAUGGAGGCCUUCGGGUUGUAAACCUCUUUCGCCAGUGAAGCAGGCCUGUCCCUUUUGUGGGUGGGUUGACGGUAGCUGGAUAAGAAGCGCCGGCUAACUACGUG
rnacentral:rRNA from 1 species